UACAGAGGUCCCAAGCGUUGUUCGGAUUUACUGGGCGUAAAGGGUGCGUAGGCGGUCGGGUAAGUCUGACGUGAAAUCUCCAAGCUCAACUUGGAAAUGGCGUCGGAUACUAUUCGGCUCGAGGAGUGGAGGGGAGACUGGAAUUCUCGGUGUAGCAGUGAAAUGCGUAGAUAUCGAGAGGAACACCAGUGGCGAAGGCGAGUCUCUGGACACUUCCUGACGCUGAGGCACGAAAGCUAGGGGAGCAAACAGG
rnacentral:rRNA from 1 species